UACAGAGGGGGGCAAGCGUUGUUCGGAAUUACUGGGCGUAAAGGGCGCGUAGGCGGCGUGCUAAGUCGAACGUGAAAUCCCCGGGCUCAACCCGGGAACUGCGUCCGAAACUGGCAUGCUUGAAUCCGGGAGAGGGAUGUGGAAUUCCAGGUGUAGCGGUGAAAUGCGUAGAUAUCUGGAGGAACAUCGGUGGCGAAGGCGGCAUCCUGGACCGGUAUUGACGCUGAGGCGCGAAAGCCAGGGGAGCAAACGGGG
rnacentral:rRNA from 1 species